CCCCAGGUCAGGCGGGGCU
rnacentral:rRNA from 1 species